CUUUGCACGGAUAUAUAUCCUCACAUGUUAAAAAAGAAAAUCCAUUGUGCUCUGUUUCUCUCAAAGCUAUGUAGAAACUUUAAUUUGAUGCAAAAGUUUCCACAACUUCAGGCUUUUGCAAUGCUUGCUCUCUGUAAACUAACGAUCAUUGAUGCAGACUUUUGUGAAGCAAAUCUUCAACUUUUGUUCACUGUUCUGGAGAAUGCGCCAUCAGAAACUGUUCGAUCCAACUGCACA